UACAGAGGUCCCAAGCGUUGUUCGGAUUCACUGGGCGUAAAGGGUGCGUAGGCGGUCGGGUAAGUCUGAUGUGAAAUCUCACAGCUUAACUGUGAAACUGCAUUGGAUACUAUCCGGCUCGAGGAAUGGAGGGGAGACUGGAAUACUUGGUGUAGCAGUGAAAUGCGUAGAUAUCAAGUGGAACACCAGUGGCGAAGGCGAGUCCCUGGACGGGUCCUGACGCUGAGGCACGAAAGCUAGGGGAGCAAACAGG
rnacentral:rRNA from 1 species